UUAAAUGUUUUAUAUGCUCUGCCGGCUCUCUUUCGAGAUUGAGCUAGUGGGCAUAUAUACCAACCCCUUGUGAACUGUAAUUGUAUUUGGGCGCUUUUCACGAAGCGCCCGCCUAUGUAUAAACCCCCUUUUUCAAUUUGACUGAUUAUAGAGAUAUAAAAGAGAAA
rnacentral:misc_RNA from 1 species